AAAUUUUUUAGUCAAAUAUGAUUUUAAAUUGCAAAUUUAAAGGUAAUUAAUAUUAGAAAUU
rnacentral:tRNA from 1 species